rnacentral:lncRNA from 1 species
AGUUAACAUUAAGAAAACAACUGCUUGUUUCUGGUAAAGUUUGCGACAAGCACUUCAUUUUAGGCAAACCUAGUUAUGAACGUGAUAUAUCUAAUCCAGAUUGGGCACCAACUUUGUUAUUAGAAAACAACGAACAGCUUUCAGCAAACAGGUGUCAGAGAAGAUAUAUACUUAGCCAGGCUAGAGGUUUGUGGUUGAAGUUCAAUUAUAUUUCUGUUGACAUCAAUAACACUAGUUUACAGCAUUAUUAGAUAUUUCAGCUAGGUUUGCUAGGAAAGGAACUAUUUGCUUUUAAGAGGUAAUACAACCUGUAGAAUAUACAAUUUUGAUUUUGAUACAAGUGUUUCAUAAACAAAUUCUUCUUGGAAAUUAAUCAAGAAGCAACCAAAGUCUUUCAACGUAUAAAUGCAAAAGAAACAUCGCUUGAGUUCACAAACCAACAUCUGUAGCUGAACCUGAUUCACAAACAAAAUCAUUUUAAGUUGCACAAAGCAAUGACAGAACUUUGUAUCGGGAGUAGCGCUUCGCCUGAAGUAUUAUUCCUGUGAGAAUAGGGACAUUUCAUUUCCAUCACAGCAUCUUCGUGACAAGCGCAUUUGAAAAUUCCAUC